rnacentral:tRNA from 1 species
UCCGGUAUAGUGUAACGGUUAACAUACCUCGUUUUCACCGAGGAGCUCGGGGUUCGAUUCCCCGUACCGGAG